rnacentral:rRNA from 1 species
ACUCAAAUGAAUUGACGGGGGCCCGCACAAGCGGUGGAGCAUGUGGUUUAAUUCGACGCAACGCGAAGAACCUUACCAGGGCUUGACAUCCCCGGAACUUCUCCGAAAGGAGGAGGUGCCCGCAAGGGAGCCGGGAGACAGGUGGUGCAUGGCUGUCGUCAGCUCGUGUCGUGAGAUGUUGGGUUAAGUCCCGCAACGAGCGCAACCCUCGCCCUUUGUUGCCAGCAGGUCAUGCUGGGCACUCUAAGGGAACUGCCGGCGUCAAGCCGGAGGAAGGUGGGGACGACGUCAAGUCAUCAUGCCCCUUACGCCCUGGGCUACACACGUGCUACAAUGGCCGGUACAGAGGGACGCGAGACCGCGAGGUGGAGCUAAUCCCAAAAAGCCGGUCUAAGUUCAGAUUGCAGGCUGCAACUCGCCUGCAUGAAGGAGGAAUCGCUAGUAAUCGCGCAUCAGCACGGCGCGGUGAAUACGUUCCCGGGCCUUGCACACACCGCCCGU